rnacentral:rRNA from 1 species
AGACCCGAAACCCGGUGAUCUAGCCAUGGGCAGGUUGAAGGUUGGGUAACACUAACUGGAGGACCGAACCGACUAAUGUUGAAAAAUUAGCGGAUGACCUGUGGCUGGGGGUGAAAGGCCAAUCAAACCGGGAGAUAGCUGGUUCUCCCCGAAAGCUAUUUAGGUAGCGCCUCGUGAAUUCAUCUCCGGGGGUAGAGCACUGUUUCGGCUAGGGGGCCAUCCCGGCUUACCAACCCGAUGCAAACUGCGAAUACCGGAGAAUGUUAUCACGGGAGACACACGGCGGGUGCUAACGUCCGUCGUGAAGAGGGAAACAACCCAGACCGCCAGCUAAGGUCCCAAAGUCAUGGUUAAGUGGGAAACGAUGUGGGAAGGCCCAGACAGCCAGGAUGUUGGCUUAGAAGCAGCCAUCAUUUAAAGAAAGCGUAAUAGCUCACUGGUCGAGUCGGCCUGCGCGGAAGAUGUAACGGGGCUAAACCAUGCACCGAAGCUGCGGCAGCGAACGUAUCACCCAAGACAACUUUACGGAGUUGACGAUUGACGGAGCGAAGCGACGUCAAAGCGUUCAUUAAAGUCGAGUUGGCUUAGGGAUACGUUCGUUGGGUAGGGGAGCGUUCUGUAAGCCUGUGAAGGUGUGUCGUGAGGCAUGCUGGAGGUAUCAGAAGUGCGAAUGCUGACAUAAGUAACGAUAAAGCGGGUGAAAAGCCCGCUCGCCGGAAGACCAAGGGUUCCUGUCCAACGUUAAUCGGGGCAGGGUGAGUCGACCCCUAAGGCGAGGCCGAAAGGCGUAGUCGAUGGGAAACGGGUUAAUAUUCCCGUACUUGGUGUUACUGCGAAGGGGGGACGGAGAAGGCUAUGUUGGCCGGGCGACGGUUGUCCCGGUUUAAGGGUGUAGGUGUGUGUUCCAGGUAAAUCCGGUUCACUUUAACACUGAGGCGUGACGACGAGGCACUACGGUGCUGAAGCAACAAAUGCCCUGCUU